GAGUUUGAUCCUGGCUCAGAGCGAACGCUGGCGGCAGGCCUAACACAUGCAAGUCGAGCGGCCGUAGCAAUACGGCAGCGGCAGACGGGAGAGUAACACGUGGGAACGUGCCCUUCGGUUCGGAAUAACUCGGGGAAACCCGUGCUAAUACCGAAUACGCCCUUACGGGAAGAUUUAUCGCCGAUGGAGCGGCCCGCGUCUGAUUAGCUAGUUGGUGAGGUAACGGCUCACCAAGGCGACGAUCAGUAGCUGGUCUGAGAGGAUGAUCAGCCUCACUGGGACUGAGACACGGCCCAGACUCCUACGGGAGGCAGCAGUGGGGAAUAUUGGACAAUGGGCGCAAGCCUGAUCCAGCCAUGCCGCGUGGAUGAUGAAGGCCUUAGGGUUGUAAAGUCCUUUUAGC
rnacentral:rRNA from 1 species